rnacentral:rRNA from 1 species
AUUGAACGCUGGCGGCAGGCCUAACACAUGCAAGUCGAGCGGAUGAAGGGAGCUUGCUCCUGGAUUCAGCGGCGGACGGGUGAGUAAUGCCUAGGAAUCUGCCUGGUAGUGGGGGAUAACGUCCGGAAACGGGCGCUAAUACCGCAUACGUCCUGAUGGAGAAAGUGGGGGAUCUUCGGACCUCACGCUAUCAGAUGAGCCUAGGUGGGAUUAGCUAGUUGGUGGGGUAAAGGCCUACCAAGGCGACGAUCCGUAACUGGUCUGAGAGGAUGAUCAGUCACACUGGAACUGAGACACGGUCCAGACUCCUACGGGAGGCAGCAGUGGGGAAUAUUGGACAAUGGGCGAAAGCCUGAUCCAGCCAUGCCGCGUGUGUGAAGAAGGUCUUCGGAUUGUAAAGCACUUUAAGUUGGGAGGAAGGGCAGUAAGUUAAUACCUUGCUGUUUUGACGUUACCAACAGAAUAAGCACCGGCUAACUUCGUG